ACUCCUGCGGGAGGCAGCAGUGGGGAAUAUUGGACAAUGGGCGCAAGCCUGAUCCAGCCAUGCCGCGUGAGUGAUGAAGGCCCUAGGGUUGUAAAGCUCUUUCACCGGUGAAGAUAAUGACGGUAACCGGAGAAGAAGCCCCGGCUAACUUCGUGCCAGCAGCCGCGGUAAUACGAAGGGGGCUAGCGUUGUUCGGAUUUACUGGGCGUAAAGCGCACGUAGGCGGACUAUUAAGUCAGGGGUGAAAUCCCGGGGCUCAACCCCGGAACUGCCUUUGAUACUGGUAGUCUUGAGUUCGAGAGAGGUGAGUGGAAUUCCGAGUGGAGAGGUGAAAUUCGUAGAUAUUCGGAGGAACACCAGUGUCGAAGGCGGCUCACUGGCUCGAUACUGACGCUGAGGUGCGAAAGCGUGGGGAGCAAACAGGAUUAGAAACCCCAGUAGUCCC
rnacentral:rRNA from 1 species